UACGGAGGGUGCGAGCGUUGUCCGGAAUCAUUGGGCGUAAAGGGCGCGUAGGUGGCGCGGCAAGCGUGCGGUGAAAGCUCGGGGCUCGACCCCGAGUCGGCCGUGCGAACUGCCGCGCUCGAGCACUGUAGAGGCAGGCGGAAUUCCGGGUGUAGCGGUGGAAUGCGUAGAGAUCCGGAAGAACACCGGUGGCGAAGGCGGCCUGCUGGGCAGUGGCUGACACUGAGGCGCGACAGCGUGGGGAGCAGACAGG
rnacentral:rRNA from 1 species